UUUGGGACACAGUGGGUUACAAAUUGAAGAAAUUCUCUCCCAGGCCAAAAACAAACACUGCCUAACAUAUUGUUCUUCCAAUCGAUACCAGACUCAGCAAUGCUGGGGGUUUGUGGCUGCCCAUUUCCUCUCCAGCAGCGUAAGGCAACACUGUUGAAUGCUAAUGAAUGUAUAUUUUAUUCAACCUCACCAGUCAUUUGGGGUUCCUUUGGAAACACACUACUCAGGAACAUUUAACUUAAUUUCAGUUUGUUACGAUGAUCCUGUUUCUGACUUGAAAGCCUCAUCCACAAAACCAUUCAAGAUCAUUUUUAUCAGCAUGCCCU